rnacentral:rRNA from 1 species
GUGCCAGCAGCCGCGGUAAUACGUAGGGUGCGAGCGUUAAUCGGAAUUACUGGGCGUAAAGCGUGCGCAGGCGGUUCGUUAAGUCAGAUGUGAAAGCCCCGGGCUCAACCUGGGAACUGCAUUUGAAACUGGCGGGCUUGAGUAUGGCAGAGGGGGGUGGAAUUCCGCGUGUAGCAGUGAAAUGCGUAGAGAUGCGGAGGAACACCGAUGGCGAAGGCAGCCCCCUGGGCCAAUACUGACGCUCAGGCACGAAAGCGUGGGGAGCAAACAGGAUUAGAAACCCCCGUAGUCC